rnacentral:rRNA from 1 species
UACGUAGGGGGCAAGCGUUGUCCGGAAUCAUUGGGCGUAAAGAGCGUGUAGGCGGCUCGGUAAGUCCGCUGUGAAAGUCCAGGGCUCAACCCUGGAAUGCCGGUGGAAACUGUCGAGCUCGAGUCCGGAAGAGGCGAGUGGAAUUCCUGGUGUAGCGGUGAAAUGCGCAGAUAUCAGGAGGAACACCAAUGGCGAAGGCAGCUCGCUGGGACGGUACUGACGCUGAGACGCGAAGGCGUGGGGAGCGAACGGG